GGGGGUGUAGCUCAGAGGCAGAGCACUUGCCUAGAAGGCAUGAGGCCUGGAUUUCAUCCCCA
rnacentral:tRNA from 1 species